rnacentral:rRNA from 1 species
UGCAAGUCGAGCGGUAAGGCCUUUCGGGGUACACGAGCGGCGAACGGGUGAGUAACACGUGGGUGAUCUGCCCUGCACUUCGGGAUAAGCCUGGGAAACUGGGUCUAAUACCGGAUAUGACCUCCUAUCGCAUGGUGGGUGGUGGAAAGAUUUAUCGGUGCAGGAUGGGCCCGCGGCCUAUCAGCUUGUUGGUGGGGUAAUGGCCUACCAAGGCGACGACGGGUAGCCGACCUGAGAGGGUGACCGGCCACACUGGGACUGAGACACGGCCCAGACUCCUACGGGAGGCAGCAGUGGGGAAUAUUGCACAAUGGGCGAAAGCCUGAUGCAGCGACGCCGCGUGAGGGAUGACGGCCUUCGGGUUGUAAACCUCUUUCAGCAGGGACGAAGCGCAAGUGACGGUACCUGCAGAAGAAGCACCGGCUAACUACGUGCCAGCAGCCCGCGGUAAA